rnacentral:lncRNA from 1 species
GUGUCUGUCUAAAAGAAGAUUCAGUGGCAGUGGUUAAGGAGACGUUAGAUAGAGAACAUUCUAGAAAAGUUGUCAUUGAGGCAGCAAGCUGAAAAGGGCUAAGGAUGGAGGCAGUGCUGCCCAUCAGAUGUCUUAGAAAACAUCAGGACUGAGAAAUGUUCAUUAGAAAUGUUCAUUAGAAUUAGAAAUCGUCAAUCUUUUUUCUAUAUACUGUUUAACUGAACCCAAGACAGCCUAAAUUGGGAGUGCACCAUUUCUUUUUGUGCCACUCAGAAUGUGCAGGUAAUUGCACUCGAC